rnacentral:rRNA from 1 species
GAGUUUGAUCCUGGCUCAGAACGAACGCUGGCGGCGUGCCUAACACAUGCAAGUCGAACGUGAUCCAGAGCUUGCUCUGGUGAAAGUGGCGCACGGGUGAGUAACGCGUGGAUAACCUACCCUGGUAUCCGGGAUAACAUUCCGAAAGGGGUGCUAAUACCGGAUAAGCCCACGGGCUCUUUGGAGCUUGCGGGAAAAGGUGGCCUCUAUUUAUAAGCUACUGUAUCAGGAUGGGUCCGCGUACCAUUAGCUAGUUGGCGGUGUAACGGACCACCAAGGCGACGAUGGUUAGCUGGUCUGAGAGGAUGAUCAGCCACACUGGAACUGAGACACGGUCCAGACUCCUACGGGAGGCAGCAGUGGGGAAUUUUGCGCAAUGGGGGAAACCCUGACGCAGCAACGCCGCGUGAGUGAUGAAGGCCUUUGGGUCGUAAAGCUCUGUCAGAGGGGAAGAAACGAUAUAGUGCUAAUACCACUUUAUCUUGACGGUACCCUCAAAGGAAGCACCGGCUAACUCCGUGCCAGCAGCCGCGGUAAUAC